rnacentral:rRNA from 1 species
UACAGAGGGUGCAAGCGUUAAUCGGAAUUACUGGGCGUAAAGCGUGCGCAGACGGUUGCGUAAGUCAGAUGUGAAAGCCCCGGGCUCAACCUGGGAAUUGCAUUUGAGACUGCGUAGCUAGGGUGCGGAAGAGGGAAGCGGAAUUUCCGGUGUAGCGGUGAAAUGCGUAGAUAUCGGAAGGAACACCAGUGGCGAAAGCACUCUGCUGGGCCGACACUGACACUGAGAGACGAAAAGCUAGGGGGAGCGAAUGGG